rnacentral:rRNA from 1 species
AUUCCAGCUCCAAUAGCGUAUACUAAAGUUGUUGCAGUUAAAAAGCUCGUAGUUGAAUUUCUGGUCGUGGCGAUCGGUCCGCCCCUCACGGGGUGUGCACCUGGUCUCUACGUCCAUCCUCGGGGAGAGCACGUCUGGCAUUCAGUUGUCGGGUGUGGGAUCCUCGUCAUUUACUGUGAGCAAAAUAGAGUGUUCAAAGCAGGCUUAGGCCGUUGAAUACAUUAGCAUGGAAUAAUAAGAUAGGACCUUGGUCUAUUUUGUUGGUUUGCAUUCCAAGGUAAUGAUUAAUAGGGAUAGUUGGGGGUAUUCGUAUUCAAUUGUCAGAGGUGAAAUUCUUGGAUUUAUGGAAGACGAACUACUGCGAAAGCAUUUACCAAGGAUGUUUUCAUUG